GCGAAGGAGGUGUAUCAUGGCGUCGGAGCUAGAAGUACCAGUCAGCAUACAUUGAUCACUGGUUUCUUCAUCGCUGCCUAAUUUUGGCGAAAUGAAGGAAUGUCACAACUUUACUGACGGAGAAAAAAAGUUUUGGCUAAGGUAAGUGAACCGCUGUAUUGCCUUUUCAUCAUUUAUAAACAAAAGUAAUAAGGGUAUUUUGCAUUUUCUGUUUUAGAGGAAUUCACUGUUUUAGAGGAAUGAACUGGUGGAUGGUUAAGAAGCUGAUGUGUCUUCUAGAAAUCUAAACAAAUUUGUGCAGAAUAACCAUAGGUCCAUUAGUGUCAGCUGUCUUUGCCAAUGGGUGGAUCCACACUGCAAAACUUAUGAAGAUGAUUGCAAACCGAAGAAGAGUCCUUGGACAAAGCAUUAAACCCUCUUGGUCCCCACUACACAGACUAAUGACGAUGAAGUACCCAAAUGAAGACACUAGCAGUGUUAUUAUGGAGUAUAUGGAUACAGACGUUGGCAACACUCAGGAGCUGAUCCAGAGGAAUCAUGGGAAUCUAUGUCAUACGAUUUGAAGGUGCAGACAUUGAAGACAGCACAGCAGAUGUUGGAGUGUUGGAAGAUAAAGUUCUUCAGGACCUUAGCAGUAAACCCUAUGAAAAAACAUGUUGCUGGGACUGAUAUAUGGACUAAACUUGAACUCCUGAAAUCAGGUACACAUUUGGAGUACUGCAGAAGUUAUUUCUGGAGCCAGUUCCUGUUCCUGGAUUAAGGUUUGAUUGGUUACCUUUAUAUGCCAAUUAGA